rnacentral:rRNA from 1 species
CAAAAACAUCGCCUCUUGNCAUANNUAUAAGAGGUCCAGCCUGCCCAGUGACUUAGUUCAACGGCCGCGGUAUCCUAACCGUGCGAAGGUAGCGUAAUCACUUGUUCUUUAAAUGAGGACUCGUAUGAAUGGCACCACGAGGGUUACACUGUCUCCUUUCUCUAAUCAAUGAAACUGAUCUCCCCGUGAAGAAGCGGGGAUACACAUAUUAGACGAGAAGACCCUAUGGAGCUUCAAACUANUACAGCACUGGCUUUUAUCNNNNUUUUUCCACUUCANNNNNGAGUUUUUAAUUUUAUUCUAGCCUNUUUGACUAUUAGUUUUAGGUUGGGGUGACCACGGAGCAAAAAUUAACCUCCACGAUGAACAGACCAANCUCUUGAGCUAAAAGCCACAACUUUAAGCACCAAUAAACUGACACAAAUUGACCCAAUAUUUUGACCAACGAACCAAGUUACCCUAGGGAUAACAGCGCAAUCCACCCCGAGAGCCCCUAUCGACAGGUGGGUUUACGACCUCNGAUGUUGGAUCAGGGUAUCCCAGUGGUGCAGCCGCUACUAACGGUUCG